GCCCGGCUGGCUCGGUGGGUAGAGUGUGUGACUCUUGAUCUCAGGGUCAUGAGUUUGAGCCCCACGCUGGGCA
rnacentral:tRNA from 1 species